rnacentral:lncRNA from 1 species
CAGGAGCCUGGAGUUUGCAGCAGUGCCUCAUCCCUUGGCGGUUCUGGAGUUCACUUUUGGGAACUUCUAGGUGUAGGAGCAUUGUAGAAAUAUUUUCUGAGGAGUUUACAUUUCCUACGAAGAAGGCUGGCACCCCAGCUGCAGGGAGGUUUUUGUUUGUUUAAGGAAUUUGAAUAUGUUGGGUAAGUAUGGCCCCUGAGCUAUGCUGUGUUACUCUUUAAGCAAUAUGAGCUAGCCCUUCUGGAAUGGGAGCAGUCCUCUCCUCACUCUGUAGGCUCCAGGGUU